UCCAAUUCCACCGCCUCCGCCUCCUCCGCCACCGCCACCACCGCCAAAUCCACCACCAAAACCACUUUCUGCUCCUCCACCAACACCUCCUCCAAAGCCACCUCCUUUGCCAAAUCCUCCACCAAUACCACUGCCAGAACCUCCUCCAAUGCCACCACCAAAACCUCCACCUUUGCCAAAUCCUCCUCCAAUGCCACCACCAGAACCACCUCCAAUACCACCGCCUAAACCUCCACCUGAACCACCUCCAAUACCUCCACCAAAACCUCCUCCUUUUCCAAUUCCACCACCAAUGCCAGUACCAGAACCACCUCCAACACCUCCACCUAAACCACCACCUCCGCCUGAACCUCCUCCAAUACCACCGCCUAAACCUCCACCUUUACCAAUACCACCUCCUUUCCCAAAGCCUCCACCACCACCAAGUCCUCCACCUUUACCAAUUCCACCUCCAACGCCACCACCUUUUCCAAAGCCUCCUCCACCACCAACACCUCCACCUUUGCCAAUUCCACCUCCAACGCCACCACCUUUUCCAAAGCCUCCACCACCACCAAGUCCUCCACCUUUGCCAAUUCCACCUCCAACGCCACCACCUUUUCCAAAGCCUCCUCCACCACCAACACCUCCACCUUUGCCAAUUCCACCUCCNNNNNNNNNNNNNNNNNNNNNNNNNNNNNNNNNNNNNNNNNNNAACACCACCACCUUUUCCGAAGCCUCCUCCAACACCAAAACCUCCACCUUUGCCAAUUCCCCCUCCAAUGCCACCACCUUUUCCAAAGCCACCUCCACCACCAAGACCUCCACCUUUGCCAAUUCCACCUCCAACACCACCACCUUUUCCAAAGCCUCCUCCAACACCAAAACCUCCACCUUUGCCAAUUCCACCUCCAACACCACCACCUUUUCCAAAGCCACCACCACCUCCUAACN
rnacentral:lncRNA from 1 species